CACUUCCUCAUGCUGACAUAUUUACUAGAGGGUAAAAUUAAAAACCUUCUAGUAAGAGUGGCAGUCGAAGGGAAGGG
rnacentral:pre_miRNA from 1 species